rnacentral:rRNA from 1 species
AACGAACGCUGGCGGCAGGCCUAACACAUGCAAGUCGAACGCCGUAGCAAUACGGAGUGGCAGACGGGUGAGUAACACGUGGGAACAUACCCUUCGGUUCGGAAUAACUCAGGGAAACUUGUGCUAAUACCGGAUACGUCCGCAAGGAGAAAGAUUUAUCGCCGAAGGAUUGGCCCGCGUCUGAUUAGCUUGUUGGUGAGGUAAUGGCUCACCAAGGCGACGAUCAGUAGCUGGUCUGAGAGGAUGAUCAGCCACAUUGGGACUGAGACACGGCCCAAACUCCUACGGGAGGCAGCAGUGGGGAAUAUUGGACAAUGGGCGAAAGCCUGAUCCAGCCAUGCCGCGUGAGUGAUGAAGGCCUUAGGGUUGUAAAGCUCUUUUACCUGGGAAGAUAAUGACGGUACCAGGAGAAUAAGCCCCGGCUAACUUCGUGCCAGCAGCCGCGGUAAUACGAAGGGGGCUAGCGUUGUUCGGAUUUACUGGGCGUAAAGCGCACGUAGGCGGAUCUUUAAGUCAGGGGUGAAAUCCCGAGGCUCAACCUCGGAACUGCCUUUGAUACUGGGGAUCUCGAGUCCGGGAGAGGUGAGUGGAACUGCGAGUGUAGAGGUGAAAUUCGUAGAUAUUCGCAAGAACACCAGUGGCGAAGGCGGCUCACUGGCCCGGUACUGACGCUGAGGUGCGAAAGCGUGGGGAGCAAACAGGAUUAGAUACCCUGGUAGUCCACGCCGUAAACGAUGGAUGCUAGCCGUUAGACAGCUUGCUGUUUAGUGGCGCAGUUAACGCUUUAAGCAUCCCGCCUGGGGAGUACGGUCGCAAGAUUA